AGUCGGGUGUGUGCUGUGCGCUGCUGGCUGGUGUUACUAAUCGCAGAGCACAUCUUUCUAGUAACCCUCUGCAGGUCACUCCCGAUCGCCGUGGUAAUUAUGAUGCGUUUUCCAGCGUUUUAGGUCUUAAUUCCAGAAGUGGUUUGUUUAGGAAAUGUACCGUACCUUUGCAGAGACUUGAAAAUGCACAGCCUUGUGACAUGUGAUAGUGUGUGACAGCAGUGCUAGUAAAGGCAGUACCCCUGUUGUGAUGAGCUCUGUAUGUAGACUGCAGAACAGUUUGGUGUUCUUUGCUUAUUUCUACCAUGAGUCUUCCCUUUUGAUUGACAAGUGAAGAAUAAAGUUUUUGGAUUUCAGUAUGCA